AUGGGAGAUUCUCAGUUCUUGGCACUCUUCAAACACCAUGCAUUCUUAGGACAAGAAAUUAAGGAUCUGCAGUUGCGUGAAAGGCUGGAAGAUUUUGCAGAGAAGAUUGCUAAAAGGCUUGGACAAUCUCCUUUGGCAGCAAAAGUUGUGGGUUCUCAGUUGAAAGGGAAAACAUGUGUCGCCGCAUGGAAGGAUGCUCUAACGAUAAAGAUUGACAAACUAAGUGAGCCCAUGAGAGCUCUAUUGUGGAGUUAUCAGAAGUUAGAUCCAUGUCUGCAGAGGUGCUUCCUAUAUUGCAGCUUGUUUCCGAAAGGCCACAAGUAUGACACCGAUGAGUUGGUUUAUCUUUGGAUGGCAGAGGGCCUUGUUGAUUCAUGCAACCAAAACAAGAGAGUGGAAGAUAUUGGGAGGGAUUGCUUCAAGGAGAUGAUCUCUGUUUCGUUCUUUCAACCACUUAAUGAGAAAUACGCUAGCACACGCUAUGUUAUGCAUGAUCUCCUCCAUGAUCUGGCAGAAUCACUCUCCAAAGGGAACUACAUCAGAUUGGAAGAUGAUAAGGUGACAGAAAUACCAGCCACUGUUCAAUACCUAUCUGUUCGUGUUGAUAGUAUGAAGCAACACAAGUUAAGUAUCUGCAAGCUACAUCAUGUCCGCACUAUUAUUUGCAUAGACCCCCUAAUGGAUGAUGUAAGUGACCUUUUUCAUGAGAUACUACAAAAUUUGAAGAAGUUGAGUGUACUACGUUUGUCAUCUUACAGCAGUAGUAAGUUGCCAGAAUCUGUUGGUGAAUUGAAGCAUCUUCGGUAUUUGAACAUCAUCAGAACACUGAUUUCUUAUUUGCCAAGAUCACUGUGUACUCUUUACCACUUGCAGUUACUUCUGUUAAAUGAGAAAGUUGAGAGUUUCCUAGAGAAACUCUGCAAUUUAAGGAAGUUGCGGCGUCUUGAAUGCCGUGAUGAUAGAUUAUACGCCACAUACAAAGAAACACUGCCUCAAAUUCCUUACAUUGGUAACCUGGGUUUUCUUCAAGAAUUGGAGAAAUUUUCUGUGCAAAAGAAAAAGGGAUAUGAGUUGCAACAGCUGAGGGACAUGAACGAGAUUCAUGGCAGUUUAAGGGUCACAAAUCUUGAGAAUGUCACUAGGAAGGAUCAAGCCUUAGAAUCGAAGUUGUGUCAGAAAAGUCAUCUUGGCAAGCUUGCAUCUUGUUUGGAGUUGCAAGAAUAA
rnacentral:rRNA from 1 species